GUUGCUUCUGCAUUACAUGUACUAAAAUUGGAACGAUACGGAGGAGAUUAGGAUGGCCCCUGCGCAAGGAUGACACACAAAAUCGUGAAGCGUUCCACUGACUA